UUUCGCGCUGGUCAUUCAUGAUUCCACGUGAAAUUAAGAUCGAUUUCACAUCUAACGAGCGUCGGCUUGUGGCCUGGGUGUCGCGAAACAAAUAAGAAGGGCGGGGAAAGAUGAGAUUGAGCCGGUUGGUCGUUCAACCGAGCCAGUUACAACAGACGGCGCCCAUGAUCUGGUCAGUUUGGCGAAGAACGUGAGAGUAAGUCGCUCCUGGAGCGAAAAGAGGAACAGAGAGGGCUGAAUGAACGAGUAAAAAAAUAUUGUGACGACGUAGUGAGACACGUGUGCAAGACAAGAACGAAGACAGGAUUGAAAGAGAGGAAGAAAAAAAACGUUAUGACGGUAAAGAGGUUAAGGUGUGAAAGAGAUGAGAAUAUAUGUGAUUGAAAAAGGCGAACGAGUGGAAGAGGAACGGGGAUAGUAUGACUUGUUGGGAAACAACUAAAGAGGGAGGAAGCGAAUAUGUAUGUGAGUACGUGGGAUGGAUAAUACUUCCUUGGCGCGUGUAAUGUACUCGUCCGACGGCGCCGGCGCCUGCAUAUAUUGCUCUUUCUAUCUUUUUCUCUGUCUCGAAUAUGUUUACGUGACGUGACACAGAUUCCACAGAGAUGCCUCCUGAAAAAUCUAUAUGAUUAUGUCUGGUGUGUGCAAAAAUUUUUGGGACGUGUCUAGAACGAGGUUAUGGUUGUUAUGACGUAUGACAUUGCAUGGCUCUUCUAAACGUUUAUUCUCGUGGAUCAAGUUGUAUUGUUGUGCAAGUUUCUAUUAUAUUUGAAAAAUUAAAUAUUAUAUGUGAAAUUAAUAAAAUAAAAAGCACAUAUAUAUGAUAUUCCACGAUGUAAUGAGAUAAACGACGAAUGGAAUGGAAUAUUUAGCAUUGAUGUUUAUAAGCUAUUCUGUUAACUAAAUAAAUGAGCGAUCAAAAAAAGGGUGAGGGGUGAAAUAUUUUCAAAAAUCAAUAGCAUGUAUCGUAUUGUGCCUUGGUCGAGACAGGUGUCUCAAUUGCGGCGCCGGAAAGUCGUAAACUGUUUUUCGGACUAUAAGAUCUUUACCAAAAUCCCGAUACCGAAUGGUAGGCAUUAUUUACACCUCGUGGCGUGUUGUAAAAUUAUAUAUACACUUGUGUUUUUUCACGCUGUCCACGCCUGAAUAUAUUCAGAUUCAUUUAAAUUACAGAGAGUAACCAUUUCGCAUCUCUCUUUUUCUUUCUUUUAUACUUUCUUUCUUUGUGGAAGUAUAAUAAAAAAUUUCCUUACAUAAAUCAAAAGCAUAUUCAAGUAUUCGAAUUAUGGAAUAAUGAAAUAAUUGAAGGAAUUGGAGAAAUGAUGAUGUAUAUAUAACGAAAUGUUUUAAUGCAUGUAUUAAGAAAAUCUGGUAAAUGAAGAGUUUCUUAAGAAGAAAUACAUAAAAGAUUCAAACAUAUAUUUUCAAGGAUUACUAUAUUUAUAAUAACAUCUAUUACUAAAUAAGAGGCAUUCAGUUUAAAUAAUAUAAGG